rnacentral:snRNA from 1 species
GUCUGUCUCUUGUACACUUGAACAAGAUUAAGUGCAGUAUCUGUCCUUACCAGAUUAAUAUCUGAAAUGACCUCUGUUGAGAGGAAAAUUUCUUUUGGUCUGGUGCUGGAAUGGGCUGCCCAGGGAGGUAUCCAAGGUAUCACUUUCCCUGGAGGUGUCCAAGAAUC